GGCGUGCCUAACACAUGCAAGUCGAACGAAGUAUAUUUUUCGGAAUGUACUUAGUGGCGGACGGGUGAGUAACGCGUGAACAAUCUGCCCUAUACAAAGGAAUAGCCUCGGGAAACUGGGAUUAAAACCGUAUGACGCUUUUAAGUCGCAUGACAUAGAAGCCAAAUUGAAUAAGAGGUAUAGGAUGAGUUCGCGUCUGAUUAGCUAGUUGGUGGGGUAAAGGCCUACCAAGGCGACGAUCAGUAGCCGGCCUGACGAGGGUGAACGGCCACACUGGAACUGAGACACGGUCCAGACUCCUACGGGAGGCAGCAGUGGGGAAUAUUGCACAAUGGAGGAAACUCUGAUGCAGCGACGCCGCGUGAGUGAAGAAGGUCUUCGGAUCGUAAAACUCUGUCCUUGGUGAAGAAGAAAAUGACGGUAGCCAAGGAGGAAGCCCCGGCUAACUACGUGCCAGCCGCCGC
rnacentral:rRNA from 1 species